rnacentral:rRNA from 1 species
GAGUUUGAUCCUGGCUCAGGAUGAACGCUAGCGACAGGCCUAACACAUGCAAGUCGAGGGGCAUCGGGGCGAGGAGCAAUCCUUGCCGCCGGCGACCGGCGCACGGGUGAGUAACGCGUAUGCGACCUGCCCGUUGCAGGGGGAUAAUCGGGAGAAAUCCCGUCUAAUACCGCGUAACGCCGCGGGGCUGCAUGGCCCUGCGACCAAAGGAAGCGAUUCCGGCAACGGAUGGGCAUGCGUGACAUUAGCUAGUUGGCGGGGCAACGGCCCACCAAGGCGACGAUGUCUAGGGGUUCUGAGAGGAAGGUCCCCCACACUGGUACUGAGACACGGACCAGACUCCUACGGGAGGCAGCAGUGAGGAAUAUUGGUCAAUGGGCGCGAGCCUGAACCAGCCAAGUCGCGUGAGGGAUGACGGCCCUACGGGUUGUAAACCUCUUUUGUCGGGGAGCAAAUUCCGCCACGUGUGGCGGAGUCGAGAGUACCCGAAGAAAAAGCAUCGGCUAACUCCGUGCCAGCAGCCGCGGUAAUACGGAGGAUGCGAGCGUUAUCCGGAUUUAUUGGGUUUAAAGGGUGCGUAGGCGGACUGUCAAGUCAGCGGUAAAAUACGGGGGCUCAACCUCCGCCCGCCGUUGAAACUGACGGUCUUGAGUGGGCGAGAAGUAUGCGGAAUGCG